CAUGUUCAUUGUCUAUUGGGAAAGAAACAAUUAAAUUAGAGAGAUGUGAAGAAAAUGAUUUUGGAAAAAUGUCAAAAACGCUAUGCCGAUUCAGCUGAGAACCGGCAUAUCCAAAAAGUAAACAGAAAUAGUCAUUGGCAGACCAAAUACUGAAUGUUGUGUUGCUGGUAGUGACAAUAGCUUGAGAGGAGCAAUGAACUGGCCAAUUGCUGUGUUCUUUAUGAGGAAUAGGAACAUACGAUAUAUCGCUCAAAGACCUACGUUUUUCGGGAUUAAUGGUGAAAGGAGAUCGAUUUAGGCCGUCUCCCAAAGCUUCGGUGCUAAUAUAGUAGUUCCCGACAAGAGGUUCAUUGGCAUGCUGUAAAUCAUAGUCUGUCACAGAUUCCCACAAAUUUGCCCGCGAACUAGUAUCUAAAGGGAUAUAACCGUCAUUUGCAUCUCUUGACAGAACCGGACUAUAAGAAAACGAGUAAGGAGAACUACUAGAGAAAGUCAAAAGCUUAACUCGAGCAGCGUUACUUAAUAAGUUCUUAUUUUCCUUUUUAGGUAGAAACGAUGCUAACGGUCUCUCAAAACUAGCUCCAAAAGAUCUAAAUCCAUUAGCAAAAAGAUUAAAAAUAUAAAAAAAUAAAUAAUAUUUUCACUCCCAAUUUUAAAUUUAAAAAUUGGUAAUCUUAAAACACACCUAGCUCGUGUACGUUGAACCUGCUUGCUGGUCAAAUGUUUAAAGACGUCUGUUAAAUUAAAGGUUAGUGCUGUUUUUGGACACAAAAAGACAAACCUUGAGACAUCUAAAAAUCAAUUCCGUACACUAUCCAGAAAUAAUUUCAGGAGGAUAGGGUUCUGCUUGAGCUACUCAAUUUCUUCUGCAAAAUUUGUAGAUUUCAGAAACACUUCUCUUCAGACGAAAUCGCAAGCAAAAUAAAGAUUUUAGAUAACAUAGAAAUCAAAAAGCAUCAAAACCAAUUGUAAAUUGUAAGUUUCAACACGUCUAUAAAAAUGUUGGCAAUGUGCUGGGUUGUCUAUGUUGGUGAACUAAGUAGUAUGACAACUUAAGGAAGCCAAACAUUAAGGUUGAAGGGCUUAAAAAAUCAAUUUAAUUGACUUGAAUUUUUAAGGGAAAAUUGAUUUCUAUUUAGCAAUCAGUUCGAUAGUCAAGAGGAAGGAGUUUUUGAAAACACCUAACUUGCAUGAUACCUGGCUAAAUAGUGAUGAAGGCUACUUGCGGUUGAGGAAUUAGGCUUACUUUGGUGGCAGAGAUUACGCUACAAACAUUCAUGAAUAAAGUAUAAAAACAUAGAUUUAUAUUCUAAAUAUUAUAGAGUGGAAGAGGUUAAAAUUUUAUUGAUUAUGACAGAUGUAACUCAAUCAAUGGUUGUUUAAUAACGUUUGUACUGACGGGGCUUAAAAAUAAUAUAUGAAUACCGAUUCUACUGAAAUAAACAAAGCAAAUACAGAGGUGAAUUGAAAUUUACGAACGAGAACGAAU